rnacentral:rRNA from 1 species
UGGGGAAUCUUGGACAAUGGGCGCAAGCCUGAUCCAGCCAUGCCGCGUGAGUGAUGAAGGCCUUAGGGUUGUAAAACUCUUUCGCCGAGGACGGUAAUGACGGUACUCGGAGAAGAAGCUCCGGCUAACUUCGUGCCAGCAGCCGCGGUAAUACGAAGGGGGCUAGCGUUGUUCGGAUUUACUGGGCGUAAAGCGCGUGUAGGCGGGUCGGUAAGUUGGGGGUGAAAUCCCGAGGCUCAACCUCGGAACUGCCUUCAAAACUGGCGACCUGGACCUAAGUAGAGGCAAGUGGAAUUGCGAGUGUAGAGGUGAAAUUCGUAGAUAUUCGCAGGAACACCAGUGGCGAAGGCGACUUGCUGGACUUAUGGUGACGCUGAGACGCGAAAGCGUGGGGAGCAAACAGGAUUAGAUACCCUCGUAGUCCCUGAGCGGGCUGGCAAGGCGCAU